GAUGAACGCUGGCGGCGUGCCUAAUACAUGCAAGUCGAGCGAACAGAUAAGGAGCUUGCUCCUUUGAAGUUAGCGGCGGACGGGUGAGUAACACGUGGGUAACCUACCUAUAAGACUGGGAUAACUUCGGGAAACCGGAGCUAAUACCGGAUAACAUUUAGAACCGCAUGGUUCUAAAGUGAAAGAUGGUUUUGCUAUCACUUAUAGAUGGACCCGCGCCGUAUUAGCUAGUUGGUAAGGUAACGGCUUACCAAGGCGACGAUACGUAGCCGACCUGAGAGGGUGAUCGGCCACACCGGAACUGAGACACGGUCCAGACUCCUACGGGAGGCAGCAGUAGGGAAUCUUCCGCAAUGGGCGAAAGCCUGACGGAGCAACGCCGCGUGAGUGAUGAAGGGUUUCGGCUCGUAAAACUCUGUUAUUAGGGAAGAGCAAAUGUGUAAGUAACUGUGCACAUCUUGACGGUACCUAAUCAGAAAGCCACGGCUAACUACGUG
rnacentral:rRNA from 1 species